GAUGAAGAACGUAGCGAAAUGCGAUAAGUAAUGUGAAUUGCAGAAUUCAGUGAAUCAUCGAAUCUUUGAACGCACCUUGCGCCCUUUGGCUAUUCCGAAGGGCAUGCCUGUUUGAGUAUCGUGAACACCUCAACUCUCAUGGUUUGCCAUGAUGAGCUUGGACUUUGGGGGUUUUGCUGGCCUUUGGUCGGCUCCUCUCAAACGGAUCAGCUUUCCAGUGUUUGGUGGCGUCACUGGUGUGAUAACUAUCUACGCCUGUGGUUUUCUGCCAGAUAACCUUCAGCGAUGGAGGUUCGCUGGGGCUCAUAAAUGUCUCUCUUCAGUGGAGACAGCCUUUUGGACGUUUGAUCUCAAAUCAGGUAGGACUACCCGCUGAACUUAAGCUUAUCAAUAAGCGGAGGA
rnacentral:misc_RNA from 1 species